GGAAUUGAUUUUAAAAUCAGAACGAUAGAACUCGACGGAAAGAAAAUUAAACUUCAGAUAUGGGACACGGCGGGCCAGGAAAGAUUCCGAACAAUUACGACAGCAUACUAUAGAGGAGCCAUGGGAAUUAUGCUGGUCUAUGACAUCACCAAUGAAAAAUCCUUUGACAAUAUUAAAAAUUGGAUAAGAAACAUUGAAGAGCACGCCUCUUCAGAUGUUGAAAGAAUGAUCCUGGGUAACAAAUGUGAUAUGAACGACAAAAGACAAGUGUCGAAAGAG
rnacentral:lncRNA from 1 species